AAUGGAACGCCACGCGCUAGCAAUACAGAGCGCCAAAGAAAAGAACAGAGAUAAAAGAACUGAACCCUGCACUUCCUCUAGACCGCCUAACCCUCACCAAAAAACACUCCACAGGAAAGCACUCAACCUCCAAAAACACGAAGCUGACCAAAAUACCCUCCUUAUCCAACUAAACGCCCUUAUCUGCUCUGCCAAACCCAAGCGCUGGCGGGACUGUGAUCCCGGUGGGCCGGAACCUAGGCACUUCUGUGGACGAUCCAGACCCGCAACCUCCGCCCCAGGAUGCUUACCUUGCAGCGCAGCUCGCGGCCGGUGUGGAUGCACAGUGCCCGGGACACAUGCUCGCGCUCAGCUAGGGGUAGCAGCAGGUAGUCGGCGAUUCGGCUGGGCCCGGGUGAGCUCACACAGCUGCCGCCGGUCCCCUGCGUGGAGGGCGGAGGCUGAGGGCUGCAGGGCGAGCCAGGGGGACUGAGGUAGUCGGGGGGACUCGAGCACUCAGAGAGGCGCGGACACUUGGCCGCCACUGCCCCCGCGUCGUCCGUGUCCAGCAGGCGUUUGGCCGGGGUUCCCCGGGCAGCCGGAAACAGUAGACCCGGACCGCGGGGCUGCGAGGCGCCGCUCAGGGCAAAACGCACGGGACCGACCCGCAUCGCGGCCCUGGCCGGAGCGGCCCCGGCUUUGUAAAUCCCUGGAUCUGCGCUGUGACUUCUUCCAGUCGGCGGGAUGGAGUUUGCAGAUAGAGCUUGGAUCGGUCCCCAAGAGGAGCCGUUCCAGGACGCUGGCGUUGUCCACCAGAACCACGUUGGCCACGCGUCCAAGGGUGGGAGGCCGGCUAAGGUCUCCAGACCCCCACAGGCACCAGGUCUGGGCGCCUCGUUGGCGGUGGCCGCCGCUAUUGUUGCCGAGGCUGUGGAUAGUCCGGGACGUGGAGACGGCCCGAGUUCCCGGGUGUUGAGCCUCGAGGACAGGAUUCCACAGGCUCCUCGGCUUCUCCGAGCAAACGCACUUCCCAAAGCAAUUAGUCUGGCGUAAAAGCCGGUACAACUUUUCCGCGCCGCUCGGAAUCCUGCGCGCUCCUGGGCUCCAGGCGUGUGAGCGAGCGAGACGCGCUCCAGGAGAGAGAGAGAGAGUGACCGACUAUGAGUGUGUGUGCCGCACUGAUCCCGGCCAGUGCACUCCUUCUCCUUUUCCUCCACCUCCUCCGCCUCCCGGUGACUCACGCUGUAUACACACACACACUCACAGCCCGGGCUGUGUAAACAGUUGGGAAGCCGGGUUGUGCAAUGAGGUGGCUGCGACGACUCCGGCCCCGUCGCCCGGCUUGCAGUCACCGGAGCGGAGGGAGGAGACUAGGGGGGAGGGGAGGUGGAGUUGGAGGCUGGAACUGUAAGGGGUGGCUGGAGGCCUGGGGAUGCUCCUGACCGCGCGCGCCGAGGCGCAGGUGGGAACGUCCUGGGACGCCUUGGGCGCGCGCACACGCCCCCCGGGUUGGGCUGGGCAGCAGGCUGCGCGCGCCCCACCGCAGGCCCGCGGGCCCGUAGCCCAGGGAGGGGGCGGAGGCAAAGCUCCCGUGACGUCAGGUUCCCGGGGAAGUGGGCGGGAGGGGCGGGGCAGCAGGGGCGAAACGACCGCUGAUUGGUGCGCGCGCAUCAUUCACACAACACAAUGGAGCACCGAGCUCCCGGCGGCCGCGCGCGCACCUCCUGGCUGCGCACCGGCAGCUGGCUGAGACCCAGUGGUCACGCCUUUAUCCUAGUGGGUCCCCCCCUCCCCGCCGUUCUGCACUUUGGGGAGCUCCCGGUGGAGCUGUGGGCGCCGUCGAGUCGCGGCUGCAGCCGGAGGAAGGGGCGAGAGGAAAGGUGAUGAAUUCCAUUAUCAGUCAUUCACCCCCACGCGGUAGUUCCGGGGAAGACCUGUGCGUGGUAGUGAAUGUGGCUUUUUUUUUCUUCCCCUCUUUUCCUGCCCCCUCCCAACUCUAAUCCCCAGCGUCUGUUCGCUUCCACAAAUAGAACCUUCUGUUGGAUGAAAUAAAAGCAAACACUGGGCCUUCUGCUCUGCCUCCACCUCCACGCCCCUCCCGCGCCUGCCGCCCGCCCGGAUUGCACGGAAAUAGCCUCUCCAAGCUCCUGGGCCGCCCCUUCGCGGUGACUCGCCGAAAGAGCUUCCUGAGCUCCGGCCGGUGGGAAACAAAGGAUGUGGGGAACUGGCGGAAGGGGCCCACGUGGCUGGCGCCAGAUUCCUGUCCCCUCCCGCCUGCAAUGCGCGCCCGAGGGUCUAGGGCGCCAGUGCGGCCAGGAGUAUUGGAUACUGGGGUACGGGUCAUUCUAUUCACUGCCAGGGAUACCAUCUGCACGCGGACAAGGUCGCAUGUAUACUUUCAUAUAGUUUGAGUUGUGUGCUCUUGAAACUGGCUGACCUUGCUCCCUGGAAACAGCUUGCAGUCACAUUUUGUGUUGCUGGGUUUUGUUUGGUCCCCCCCCCCCCCACUUCUUUCGCAAACCAGGUCAGUUUGGAGUCUCUGGAUCCUCACUUAGCAUAGAUGCCUAUUAUCAAAAUCCUUUCUUGCAAUUAUGCUGAAUAAUUAAUUUUCUAAAACCAGGUCAAACCCAAGAAUAAAUCCUUUUCAUCAUU
rnacentral:lncRNA from 1 species